rnacentral:rRNA from 1 species
UGGGGAAUAUUGCACAAUGGGCGCAAGCCUGAUGCAGCCAUGCCGCGUGUAUGAAGAAGGCCUUCGGGUUGUAAAGUACUUUCAGCGGGGAGGAAGGGAGUAAAGUUAAUACCUUUGCUCAUUGACGUUACCCGCAGAAGAAGCACCGGCUAACUCCGUGCCAGCAGCCGCGGUAAUACGGAGGGUGCAAGCGUUAAUCGGAAUUACUGGGCGUAAAGCGCACGCAGGCGGUUUGUUAAGUCAGAUGUGAAAUCCCCGUGCUCAACCUGGGAACUGCAUCUGAUACUGGCAGGCUGGAGUCUCGUAGAGGGGGGUAGAAUUCCAGGUGUAGCGGUGAAAGGCGUAGAGAUCUGGAGGAAUACCGGUGGCGAAGGCGGCCCCCUGGACGAAGACUGACGCUCAGGUGCGAAAGCGUGGGGAGCAAACAGG